ACUCCUACGGGAGGCUGCAGUGGGGAAUAUUGGACAAUGGGCGGAAGCCUGAUCCAGCAACGCCGCGUGAGGGAUGACGGCCUUCGGGUUGCAAACCUCUUUCAGCACAGACGAAGCGAAAGUGACGGUAUGUGCAGAAGAAGCACCGGCCAACUACGUGCCAGCAGCCGCGGUAAUACGUAGGGUGCGAGCGUUGUCCGGAAUUAUUGGGCGUAAAGGGCUCGUAGGCGGUUUGUCGCGUCGGGAGUGAAAACCAGAGGCUUAACUUCUGGCUGGCUUUCGAUACGGGCAGACUAGAGGUAUGCAGGGGAGAACGGAAUUCCUGGUGUAGCGGUGAAAUGCGCAGAUAUCAGGAGGAACACCGGUGGCGAAGGCGGUUCUCUGGGCAUUACCUGACGCUGAGGAGCGAAAGUGUGGGGAGCGAACAGGAUUAGAUACCCUGGUAGUCCACACCGUAAACGUUGGGCGCUAGGUGUGGGGCCUAUUCCAUGGGUUCCGUGCCGCAGCUAACGCAUUAAGCGCCCCGCCUGGGGAGUACGGCCGCAAGGCUAAAACUCAAAGGAAUUGACGGGGGCCCGCACAAGCGGCGGAGCAUGCGGAUUAAUUCGAUGCGACGCGAAGAACCUUACCUGGGUUUGACAUACACCGGAAAGCCUCAGAGAUGGGGCCCCUUUUGUCGGUGUACAGGUGGUGCAUGGCUGUCGUCAGCUCGUGUCGUGA
rnacentral:rRNA from 1 species